rnacentral:rRNA from 1 species
GGGGAUAGCCCAUGGAAACGUGGAUUAACACCCCAUAGUACUUUUAUCCUGCAUGGGAUAGGAGUUAAAUGUUUAAGGUAUCGGAUGGGCAUGCGUCCUAUUAGUUAGUUGGCGGGGUAACAGCCCACCAAGACGAUGAUAGGUAGGGGUUCUGAGAGGAAGGUCCCCCACAUUGGAACUGAGACACGGUCCAAACUCCUACGGGAGGCAGCAGUGAGGAAUAUUGGUCAAUGGACGAGAGUCUGAACCAGCCAAGUCGCGUGAGGGAAGACUGCCCUAUGGGUUGUAAACCUCUUUUAUAAGGGAAGAAUAAGUUCUACGUGUAGAAUGAUGCCUGUACCUUAUGAAUAAGGAUCGGCUAACUCCGUGCCAGCAGCCGCGGUAAUACGGAGGAUGCGAGCGUUAUCCGGAUUUAUUGGGUUUAAAGGGUGCGUAGGCGGUUUAUUAAGUUAGUGGUUAAAUAUUUGAGCUAAACUCAAUUGUGCCAUUAAUACUGGUAAACUGGAGUACAGACGAGGUAGGCGGAAUAAGUUAAGUAGCGGUGAAAUGCAUAGAUAUAACUUAGAACUCCGAUAGCGAAGGCAGCUUACCAGACUGUAACUGACGCUGAUGCACGAGAGCGUGGGUAGCGAACAGGAUUAGAUACCCUGGUAGUCCACGCCGUAAACGAUGCUCACUGGUUCUGUGCGAUAUAUUGUACGGGAUUAAGCGAAAGUAUUAAGUGAGCCACCUGGGGAGUACGUCGGCAACGAUGAAACUCUAAGGAAUUGACGGGGGCCCGCACAAGCGGAGGAACAUGUGGUUUAAUUCGAUGAUACGCGAGGAACCUUACCUGGGUUUAAAUGGGAAAUGUCGUAUUUGGAAACAGAUAUUCUCUUCGGAGCGUUUUUCAAGGUGCUGCAUGGUUGUCGUCAGCUCGUGCCGUG